rnacentral:rRNA from 1 species
UACCGAGGGGGCAAGCGUUGUUCGGAAUUACUGGGCGUAAAGGGCGCGUAGGCGGCCUUCUAAGUCGAACGUGAAAUCCCUGGGCUCAACCCAGGAACUGCGUCCGAUACUGGAAGGCUUGAAUCCGGGAGAGGGAUGCGGAAUUCCAGGUGUAGCGGUGAAAUGCGUAGAGAUCAGGAAGAACACCGGUGGCGAAAGCGCUCUGCUGGACCUUAACUGACACUGAGGGACGAAAGCUAGGGGAGCGAAUGGG